GGAAGCGGGGAGGAGGUGGCAGUGAGAUUAGUCUGCCCUUAAUUGUGGAAACUGCUUCAGAGGAGGGAGUGUACAGAUGUUAGAUCUUAUGGAAGCAUGCGUGUACGGCACCCAGGCCAGUAUAUGAGACUAAAAAGAAGAAUGUAGGAAGAAGAGGAUACAAAAUGCAAAGGUAAAGAUAAACUAAAGUAGGAAAGGGCAAACCCCAGG
rnacentral:lncRNA from 1 species